rnacentral:rRNA from 1 species
CCUACGGGUGGCUGCAGUCGAGAAUCAUUCACAAUGGGGGAAACCCUGAUGCUGCGACGCCGCGUGGGUGAAUGAAUGUCUUCGGAUUGUAAACCCCUGUCACGUGGGAGCAAAUUAAAAAUAUAUUACUACAAGAGGAAGACACGCCUAAUUCGGUGCCAGCAGCCGCGGUAAUACGGAGGUCUCAAGCGUUGUUCUGAGUCACUGGGCGUAAAGCGUGCGUAGGCGGUUCAGUAAGUCUGGUGUGAAAGGCGCCGGCUCAACCCGCGGACGGCAGAUGGUACUGCGGGACUAGAGUACCGGAGGGGGAACCGGAAUUCUCGGUGUAGCAGUGAAAUGCGUAGAUAUCGGGAGGAACACUAGUGGCGAAGGCGGGUUCCUGGACAUUAACUGACGCUGAGGCACGAAGGCGAGGGGAGCGAAAGGGAUUAGAUACCCUGGUAGUC